CAUGGCGGCGUGCUACCAUGCAAGUCGAACGUGAUCCGCCCUUCGGGGUGGUGAAAGUGGCGCACGGGUGAGUAACGCGUGGAUAAUCUGCCCGAGGAUUUGGGAUAACAUCUCGAAAGGGGUGCUAAUACCGAAUAAGCCCACGGGGUCUACGGAUCUUGCGGGAAAAGGGGGGGACCUUCGGGCCUCCUGUCCUUGGAUGAGUCUGCGUACCAUUAGCUAGUUGGUGGGGUAAUGGCCUACCAAGGCGACGAUGGUUAGCUGGUCUGAGAGGAUGAUCAGCCACACUGGAACUGAGACACGGUCCAGACUCCUACGGGAGGCAGCAGUGGGGAAUUUUGCGCAAUGGGGGAAACCCUGACGCAGCAACGCCGCGUGGGUGAUGAAGGCCUUCGGGUCGUAAAGCUCUGUCUGGAGGGAAGAAAUGAUUGGGAGCUAAUACCUCUUGAUCUUGACGGUACCUCUGAAGGAAGCACCGGCUAACUCCGUGCCAGCAGCCGCGGUAAUACGGAGGGUGCAAGCGUUGUUCGGAAUUAUUGGGCGUAAAGCGCGUGUAGGCGGUCUUUUAAGUCUGAUGUGAAAGCCCCGGGCUCAACCUGGGAAGUGCAUUGGAAACUGGGAGGCUUGAGUACGGGAGAGGAGAGUGGAAUUCCUAGUGUAGGAGUGAAAUCCGUAGAUAUUAGGAGGAACACCGGUGGCGAAGGCGGCUCUCUGGACCGAUACUGACGCUGAGACGCGAAAGCGUGGGUAGCAAACAGGAUUAGAUACCCUGGUAGUCCACGCCGUAACGAUGAGUACUACGUGUUUGCGGGUAUUGACC
rnacentral:rRNA from 1 species